rnacentral:rRNA from 1 species
AGCGUAAGUGACGGUACCUGGAGAAGAAGCACCGGCCAACUACGUGCCAGCAGCCGCGGUAAUACGUAGGGUGCGAGCGUUGUCCGGAAUUACUGGGCGUAAAGAGCUCGUAGGCGGUUUGUCGCGUCGUCUGUGAAAUUCUGCAACUCAAUUGUAGGCGUGCAGGCGAUACGGGCAGACUUGAGUACUACAGGGGAGACUGGAAUUCCUGGUGUAGCGGUGAAAUGCGCAGAUAUCAGGAGGAACACCGGUGGCGAAGGCGGGUCUCUGGGUAGUAACUGACGCUGAGGAGCGAAAGCGUGGGUAGCGAACAGGAUUAGAUACCCUGGUAGUCCACGCCGUAAACGGUGGGUACUAGGUGUGGGGCUCAUUUCACGAGUUCCGUGCCGUAGCUAACGCAUUAAGUACCCCGCCUGGGGAGUACGGCCGCAAGGCUAAAACUCAAAGGAAUUGACGGGGGCCCGCACAAGCGGCGGAGCAUGUGGAUUAAUUCGAUGCAACGCGAAGAACCUUACCUGGGUUUGACAUACACCAGACGCAUGUAGAGAUACAUGUUCCCUUGUGGUUGGUGUACAGGUGGUGCAUGGCUGUCGUCAGCUCGUGUCGUGAGAUGUUGGGUUAAGUCCCGCAACGAGCGCAACCCUUGUCCUGUAUUGCCAGCGGGUUAUGCCGGGGACUUGCAGGAGACUGCCGGGGUCAACUCGGAGGAAGGUGGGGAUGACGUCAAGUCAUCAUGCCCCUUAUGUCCAGGGCUUCACACAUGCUACAAUGGCUGGUACAGAGGGCUGCGAGACCGUGAGGUGGAGCGAAUCCCUUAAAGCCAGUCUCAGUUCGGAUUGGGGUCUGCAACUCGACCCCAUGAAGUCGGAGUCG